ACGAGAUCGGGAAGCCAUCGAACCGUCCCUCCCUCCCUUCCUCGGAUCGUCGCCUUCUUCCGUUGCGACCGGGCCGAGGACUACCUGCGGCUCCCAUGCCGAGGGGCAGGAGGACGGAUCCGUCGCGCGGCCCAACGCGUUGCUCCUCCUUUGGGGCUAUUGAUGGGGUUCACUUGCUCCGAUCAUCAUCGGAGUCGAUGUGGAGUGUGAUCUGCUCUUGUCACAUUCCGAUCCUACCUCAUCAUCGGACUCCGCUGCCGCUCGCACGCGGGUCGUCGCUUUCUUCUGCUGCUGCCGUGGCGAGACCGAUGACAAGGAGCAGGAGGACGGAGCCGUCGCGAGGCCCGAGGCGGUUCUCCUUCGUAGGGCCGAUCAUCAUCGGACUCUCCGGUUUCUCGUCGAUGUGGAGUGUGAUCUGCUCUAUUCUCGUGUCUGAUGUUCUUGAUCUAGUACCUCUGUUUGUUUCUUGAUUCUUGUUUCUGGUCUUGCAUGUAGAAGACAUCAUUUAGAUCCCGAUCCUACUUCCCCCCCCAAGACUUAUGGAGCUGUCGCGAGACGUUCAACAAGUUCGCCUCUGUUUAGGCCCAAGCCGGCUUCGCUUCGGCAGAUUAUCGUCGGAGCUUCCGGUUUCCCGCUGAUCCCGAUCUCAAGGUGACAUCUACCCUUUGUUCAUGAUCUGUUGCUCUCUCUCUCUCUCUCUCUCUUGAAAUCUGCCCUUCGUUCAUGAUAUGUUCUCUCUCCGUUUCGUGAAUCUUUGUUUUGUCAAUCUUGGAUCUUCAAAUGAUAGAAGACAUGGUGUAGAUUUGGGUUCAAUCGAGGGGAGUUCUUAUUCGUGGGAAGUUGUUGCCGAUGAUCAGUUAAUAUGAAACUUGAAAUGAUAUUAAAGGCUUUCACUUAGUGUUACAGAGGACUGGACUUUUAGAGCAUAUAUGGGGUUUGGAGUAGUUCUUUCCCCAAGAAGGAAAAAGAUAUAAUAAAGACGAAUCUUCGGAAAGUUUUAUCUUAAUUUGUUCUCAUCUGUCAUUGUGUGUACUACCUGAAUCAUCUUUCGAAUAUGAACAUAAUAUUAUGUAUAUAUGUGUAUUUAUUCAGUGGGAUUAACAAGGCGAGCUAAAUAUUAUUAUA